GCCGACGUGGUGGAAUUGGUAGACACGCUGUCUUGAGGGGGCAGUGCAGAAAUGCGUGCGAGUUCGAGUCUCGCCGUCGGCACCA
rnacentral:tRNA from 1 species